rnacentral:lncRNA from 1 species
UUUUUUUUUUUUCAGCCAGCAGUGAAUUGAUGUAAAAACUGAGUCACAACUGCAUGACUCUUCCAUGGCUUGAAUGCCUAGAUAGGAAGGAGAGAUGAAAACCAUGGAAAUGAGCGAUCAUAUACAUUUUUACUGUGCCUCAGAACUCAUGCCAAAAAUGUGGGCCACAUAAUGUUGGUUGCAUGAAGAAGUGAGACAUUGUUACUGCAACUAGCUCAGCACUUUACAAAUGUAGAGAUUUUCUUCCCUGGAGCACACCACUGACUGGAUUUACUACUAAUAUUGCCAGCAAAAAAUUCUCCAGCUCAUGAAGUGGCGAGGGCAGUGUUAAGAAUACACCCCAGUCCUGUGCUUUUACUUCAGGAUGCAGUGGGAAACAAGGCAUGCAGAGAGCAAAUAAUGAUGCAAGGUUUGUUUGUUUCUAUUUU